rnacentral:rRNA from 1 species
UGAACGCUGGCGGCGUGCCUAAUACAUGCAAGUCGCGCGAACAGACGAGGAGCUUGCUCCUCUGACGUUAGCGGCGGACGGGUGAGUAACACGUGGAUAACCUACCUAUAAGACUGGGAUAACUUCGGGAAACCGGAGCUAAUACCGGAUAAUAUAUUGAACCGCAUGGUUCAAUAGUGAAAGACGGUUUUGCUGUCACUUAUAGAUGGAUCCGCGCCGCAUUAGCUAGUUGGUAAGGUAACGGCUUACCAAGGCAACGAUGCGUAGCCGACCUGAGAGGGGCAUCGGCCACACGGACACUGAGACACGGCCCAGACCCCUCGGGGGCGCAGCAGUGGGAUAUUCUCCGAAAUGGGGAAACGCCGGACGGGGCAACCCCGCGUGAGUGAGGAAGGUUUUGGGAUGUAAAAACUUUUUUUUAGGAAAAAAAAAAUGUGUAAGUAACUAUGCACGUCUUGACGGGACCAAAACAGAAAGCCCCGGCAAACUACGG